UUUAUUUCCAAUAGCACCCUGUGUUUGCAUGUGCCACGUAACAAUCACAUCGAUAUAUCCCUCAAAGAGAUAAAAAGCAUCGCGUCCUCGCCGGAUUCGCGCUAUAACGCGGGACGACGCGACGCCUGCGCCGAGUGCGCGGGAGAGGUGCGAGAAGGCGCUGCUGCGUCCACGUACACGCGACCGAGGGAGUAGGACGCACGGACGUGCGGAGGGAGGGCGGGUGGGAAGGAGGGUAGGGGAGGAGGGCGGGAGGAAUAGUGGGGAAGGGUGAGCCCGGUGGGAGGCAAGGAUUCGUGUCAUUGUCAGUGGGUAAUCAGGUCAGUGGGCCAGUGGGACGACCACUUUCAAUUUCAGUCCUUCUAGCUGUGCAACUCGCCGUGCCGCGCGUCGCGCGUUAUCUCGCGCUCUCGCUCUCCGUCUCCCUCUUUCUCCCCGCCGCCGCGAUACGUUCGUCUCUUUUGCCUCGCGAUGUUCACGCGACUCUAUCCGCCGUCCGUGUCGUUUCUGUGCUGUUUGUUAAUAUCGCGGUACAUACAUACGUACUCGUAGCUCGUGGUUCCUCUCGAGGGCGUCGUGGUUACUGGUAGAGGGAGGCAAAGAGGGUGUAGUGGAGGGGGGGGGGAAGUAGAGGCGCGAAGUCGUAAACGUGGCAGAAGUAUGAGUCGCGAGAAAAAGAAGGAGGAUGCAAGAGGGGAGAGGGGGAAGUCCUGACACGCGCCAAUCACAUCAUGUUUCUUCGGUUGCAAACGUGUACCGAGCAGUACGCGGUUUAACAGAAAGAAGCGAGAGAGAGUGAUAGGGAGAGUGACAGGAUGGCGGCAUGCGGGACAAAGGGCGAGGGGAAGGAUGAUGCACGCGCGAUCGCGCUAGCUCGCUCGCCCGACGGCGCUCGCUCGUUCUCUCGCACGGACGCCGGGAAAGAUAGCAGAAAGUAGGACGCGUAUUAAAAACCACAGACCGUGUCCCGUGGCGUCACUUCUCGUGCCUCGCCGCGGCGCGUCGGUAUUACCCAAUCGAAUUCAUCAUAACUGGCACGAGAAACGUACGAGCGAGCAAAUGAACGAACGAAUCGACGGACAUAUGGAGACAUGGACGAGUUGUCGAAUUGAAAAAGAGAAAGGGAGGGGGAGAACUAUACGACGUUUAAAAGAGAGAGGUAAUUUCGGUGAUAAGCGCGAUCAGCGCCAAGGCGCGGUGAUCGAUGGAAACACGGACGCCCAGUAUCUUACGAUCUAUGAUAAAACUUUCGAUUUCGAUGCGUCGAUCGCGAGAUCCGUGUAACGCCGCGGCCAAGCACUACGGUGAAUCGUGCUUUCUUAUUUUCAGUGUUUAGCCGAGGAGAAGAAACGAGUCACUUCCUCUCAUUAUUGCAUUCCCAAACGAAAUUUUUGCACGCACAAGUUCCAGAGAAAUAUUACCCGAGUGCUAAAUUUAGCGACUGAUCGAAACGAGACCAACGCCGUGGUGCGGCGAUCGCGAGAAUUAUAAAAGGUGCGAGCGCGCCUCUUCCGCUCGAAUCAAUGAUCCUUAAUUACGUUUGAAAAUUAAGCUGACGCCAAAGUAUCGCGCAACGAGUAAAUGAAUUUUCCUAAGGAAUUAGGUCAUGCCCUUGAAGAGUUAUUCGUGAAAGCUAAAGAAAUUUCGGCAUCGACUAUACACGCUUCAUCGACUAUUAUUUGACGACGUUUAAGUAAGUACGAUCUGAUCUUCCAAUAUAAGCUUACAAAUCCACCAAAAUUUCAUCUUUUCGGCAUGAACAAAUUUAUAUCGGACAAGAUCGAAUCUGUGACCUAAAAAAUCUAUCGAAGAAACGGAGAACGUUGUUGUUUGCAUAUCGAACGCUCGUAAAUUUACCAAACUAUAUCGAUAGAGGUAAACAAAAGUUACAAAGAUUGUUCCCUUCUCUUAAAAUUAUUACACCAGCCUAUUCAACGCGCAUGGCUGAAUAAAUCGAACGUUUCCGCGAUGCUAAACAUUUUAACACCCCGGCUACUUUGAAUGUCGCGCGCAUGCGCCCAGUUGUACGGAUAGCAAUUCUUAUAUGCGAUCCUUUGGACAAGCUUUUAGAUGUUGAUACCAUUGGGAGGGCGCCACAAGUUAGGAGAAGCAAUUUGGCGAUGCGAGAUAUGUACACGUAUAUGGUCUACUUUUCGAAGUCGGACCGCGUAGACGCGAUUCGAGCGCGCAUUCAAGUACGUCUUGCUUUGCAUUUGCAAGUACAAUGAAAUUAUGCAAGCGUGUUAUAUUGCAAUUAUAUGUACUCGCAAUAAAUCGGUAAUAACGGAAUAAUAGCCGUUACUAAUACACCGGGAAUGCGAGCUGGGAUAUUUCCAACGGCAUACAUUUAGUAACGGUGAUCAUAACACGGAGACUUACGAUCCAAUAAUACAAUUUGUAAUACGGUACUACAGAAAAGAAUUGUUUUUACAAUUACUUUAAAAAAGACACAUUAGAAAUAAAUCUGUUAUACUUAUUACAUAUACAGAAAUAAAUCUGUUAUGCUUAGACUGCGAACGUUUAUGCAAUUUUAUUUUAUUAUGGGAAAUUUUAAUGUACAAUAACAUAACGUAAUAUAGACGAUAUACAUAAUAUAAGAGUGAGCACGAUACGAAAGAAUAUAUGCAAUAAGAAAAUAUGCAAAGUGAUACACCUGUCGUAAUAUUUAAAGACCAAACCUAAUUUCUCUUUACAAUGUAUGCUUGAUUGUUGUGUCUAUAAAAAUUUCAAUGUACAUAAACAUUUACAGUCUAGUUAUAACUACUUCAAGUCUUGUCAAUGAAUUAUGUAAUUUCAUACGAUUAAAAGUAAUAAACGCACUUUAAUAAGAUGAGCAACAUAACUGAAACUUAUUUGUAAAAUCAGUGGAAUUCGAUCGUACCAUGAUUAUGAUGCAAGAGGGUAAAAGCUGACGUGGACACGAGGGAUGAAGGUUCGGCAUCGAUAAAUUCGCCAACGUAUCUAUACCGGUGCUGUAGCCCGCUGGGGACGUUGAAUAAUAAUUAUUGUUAUUGGCUCGGCUUGGGUGUUAUUGAGUUAUUCCAAUGCGAGUUUAUCAAAGUGGGUCAAGCGAUUCAAUAGCGACCGCCGUGGAGGAGAAACGACCCAUCGUCUUAACGUGGCGUGGGAGUGUACGUAUAGCAGUAAAAUAAUGUGCACACGAUCAAACACACACCGGCAAACGCCACCGAAUUGGUACACGUAUAAAAAGUGACGAACAACCAGACCGUAAAAUCGGCACUACUAUUACGAGGAACAAUUAUAACGAUGAUAUUUCUUUAUAUUAUUCGAAGAAAAUUGGUGGAAAAAAUUGGAUCAAUUUACUCGGGAAAAACAGGAACGCAGGAGAAACAGAAUUCGUGAAACGUAAAAUCGUUAUCUAAUUGAAAUCGUGGAAAAAACAAAUGUUGAUUCGGAGCUUGGUGCGAGUUAUAAUCUCGGUAACGAUUCCGUAUGUAUACAUUUGCUCUUCAAUCCGUAAAGUCCGCUAAUGACUCACUCACUCCACCUUCCGUACGCUCAUUAUCCGUCGCUAAUUAUCAUAAAUCCCAGCUCAAUCACGAGAAUAGAAUGGCAAUGUUAAUAGACACCUUUUCGGACAAACAACGGUCACACGUAACCAACGUAAUUUCGUCACGGGAUUUUCACAGGCAGUCGAGAGAGAGAGAGACUAAUUAUCCGGCUUUCCAUUAGCAACAGGUAGAACGACGGACGAGCCAUAAAUUCCUGUAGGAAAGCGAGGAAACCGGAUUUUCUUCGCUCUUGGUGAGAGUUGGAACAACACUCGAUUGUUGCAUAAUAGGGACAACAAGGAUAAGAGGCGUGUGUCCUCGGUCAGACUGGCAAUAAACAAACAAAGAAUAUUUGACUGAGAUGUCAUGGGUAAAUAAGUAAACUGACGACAAGUGAAAAUACAGCCCAAGUCCCCUAGAGAGAAACGAAAUCACGAGUCACGAGAGAACCGAAGAAAAUGAAAAAGGUCGCGUGUCUAUAUUGGAGAUCGCUUUCGAAGUCACCGGAUGAUAUUGUAAAAAGAAGCGAAGAAUUAUUAAGGAAGUUUACCAUCAUUCACGCUACGCAUGUGAUUUACAUGUUAUUUAACCUUCCGUAAGCAAACUGGCUAGUUAUGUCCGAAUGUUUUUUUACUGUUAUUUAUUAUUAUAUUAUUACAUUAUUAUUUUACUGUUUCCGACUUCGAAAAGAUCCUCAAGCUAUCCUGAAAUAGUUAUCAAUGUUUUUACUACGCCAAAUGUUUGAAAUAUUCCUCAAUAAAAAUAGACAUUCUUUUUGGAGAAAUUGUAGAAUGAAAUUUAAAUUAGAUUCUCAACUACUCGAUUUGCCUACGAAAGAUUAAAUGUACUAAGAAUACGGAUAUCGAAAAUGAGACUUCCGGGGAAAUAACUGUUUGCAAGGUAUCAGAGGAUUAUAUUAUUCCUUCCAAAACCGUAUGGUAUUGAAUCGUCACAGAUUCGAAUAUGUGUACUAAGCAUACAUUCACACUAAUCAACUACUUUAGAUAUGGUUAGUUUCAAUGUAGUUACACGUCUUAAUGCAACAAGAACCAAUUGUACAUAACCACUUGAAGCAACCACGUAGAAAAGAUUGUAUUACGAAAUGUCUUGUACAGAAGUUCUAUAUGCCUCGAAACGCAUGCACGAUGCGCUCGCAAAAAGGGUAGUACCUAAAGAAUAUGUAAAGCAGGUUAAACGAUGUAUCGGAGACACAGCCUUGAAUAUUCAUGAAUACUGAACAACUUUUUUGGAAUGGUAUCACAUUUAAAUUCCACUCGUCCUCUGUUACCGCGUUCUACGCUCUAUUUGUAAGCAUGCACUUUGCACUUUGCUUAACACACGCGUUUCCUAUUGUCGUUACGAUGUUUAAAAAUCAUUUCCUAUCAUUUUCCAAGAGAAACAAUAUCUAAAGAAAAGAAGGGACCUUGGGUAAAAUUUGCACCUGUGCCCUGUAGGUCUAUUUCGUACCCCUUACUGUGCGGAUAAUCGUGAUUUAUUGUGUGCAAACAGCGGACCCAAGCGGAAAUGUAACAAGUGAAUUUCGACGCAGCAGGUAGAUGUUGACGUGGUCUAUUGUCGGGAAGAGUGUAUACAUCGUUGAAAGAACCGACCCCAUCCAUUCGACAAGGGAUUGCGACGAAUUCGUGCCGGCCACGUGCCGCCACGCUUACGAAAACCCGAGAAAGCUGCAAUCCCUUAUUCUACAACAUUUUUACUACUCGGAAUAGUACAUAGUAAAAGUUAAAGUGACAGCCAACUUUUACGAGACUAAUACUUUACCUCUGCCUAACAAGAGCAGGAGGACAUCCACGACAAUAGUCAAUGUUACUCGUAAUAUUUCUUCGAGGGAAGACUCUAUUUGGAGUGAAAUACGAUCAUUAUAAAAUUACGAAAAUUGUCUCCUUGAUUCUACGACGAUAGAAUGAUACUGGUAAGGUUGCUUUUGAUCCGUGGAGAAAGGAAAAAUACGAAAAAAUUACGUAGUCAUAUUUUCUUACACUGCCACUGAAAAGUAUUUGGCCACUUUAUCUUUAAAGCUUAACUAAGUAAAGCUUAUUUUUCACGUAAUUUAAUUAAAAAGAAAUUACAAAUAAAAAUUACGUAUUCAUAAAUAAUGUCUACAUUCCGUGGGUAUUAUUAUUUUAUCAUCACUAUAUAUAAGGUUUCCUUUAUAUAACCAAUAUUAGUUAUACGUAUUAAUACAUAUGCAAUGAAAUGUUGGCAUCCACGAGAAUAAACGUAACCCUAACCAAGUUAUGACACAAUUUUUGAACAAAAUUUACGAAACAUUCCGGUGAAGCUAUUUAUCCCCGGACUAUCUUCAAGUUUCUAAAAUACAGAUCAGAUAGAUUCUUGUAAACUUGUAUCAUAUUUGACUCGAACAAUAACGUUUCAAACUAAUAGAUGCAUCGAUGAAUAUCGCGUUUCAAAUUUUAAUACAUUGUCGGUCGAUUUUCAAACAAUUAAUAAAAUGUAUUAUUUGUUGAUUCGCUAAGAAGAUAAAUCCGUUAAAAUGUUGGGAAACUAUAGAAAAUUUGAAAGUGGCAAAAUGCACAGAAUACGCAUAAUUCACAAGGCUAUACAAAAUACUUGAAAUAUUCGUAUACGGCUAAUUAUAAUAUCUAGCGCUAGAAAUAAAUGAAUUUGUUUAAGUCUUAUCUCCACAGUGGCAUUCACAAAAAUGUAAAUUCGCGUAAGCACCCAUAGUCUAGUUAUAGGUGAUAGUGUAGGUUAAAUCGCAAAAUUAUUUUCAUUUUCGUUGAAAUGAACUCGACUCUUGGCCGUUUGUCCGAUUUUAGAACUCUCUUUUAACGAAGCAAAGGGUCGAGAUGAGUCUGUUUAUAGAGAGAGAAAUUUCGAGCGUUCGUGUCCCCUUUGGGUUUGUCUGGUUCGCGAAGCGUGUCGUCGGGGUCCGGAUGAAAGUAAAAGUAAAAGUACCGAGAAUGGGCGCCAAAGUAUACGUGCACGUGUGUACCGCGAUCUGGUCGCGUGAAACGCGACCGUCGAAGGGGGACGCGGCUCGCCACCCGUUUUUCCGACCUUUGAAAUUGUACAAACGCAUUUCUAGAAUGGCACUACGACGUUCGCCGAGUGCUUUCACCAGUGUCGAUGCGUCGUGAGCUCUCUGACGUAACCAGUUUCACUGGAACGCGUCUCUCCCAUAACACAGACCUAAUUUUUAAUCGACGUCAACCUGUUUCGAAGCGAUUACACGAUGCAGCUCGUCAAGGUGACGAUUAAGCAAUUACCAAAAUUAAGGCUUCCGGAUGCAAGUUGUUUGUAUUCUAAUUUUUUCUAAAUACUACUGUUAAUAUUAUUAUUCAUAUAUAUAGAGAGUAUUUGUCGCGUUUUUUUUUUUUUUUUUUUAUCGCAAAUAGUAGAUUUAUGAACAAAGUUAAAAGAACAAAGUUUUACUAUCUUUUAUACAAUAGUUUGAAUAGAUCUUCUUUCAUUGUUCUUCGCUUGCGCGGUAUUAAAGAAAUUACGAAUAUUCUUAAUUAGCAACGAACAUUUUUACACUGCAUCGUGAAUGUAAAAAUGAAUUGAAUAUUUUUCUUACAAAUCUAUCAUUUACGAGGAAACUGGUGAAGGCUAAGGCCGGGUGCAGACGAGCGACUUUUUGACGUUGCAUUUUCGCUGCAUCGUAUAUCUGUCCUCGUUGUGUUUAACUGGGGAAAUAAAGAGAGACGUAUGACGCAGCGAGAACGCAGCAGGAAAAAAGUUGUCUGUCUGCACCGGGCCUAAUAGCACGAACUUGUAUGUAUUAAUGUAUCAUUCGAUAAUAAUUUUGAUCUCUGACGAAAAUGAAACUUUCAGAAUAUUUCUUUGAAAACGGCAUGAAACAAGAGUCACAAUUUUAAAGAUUGUACAUUAAUUGACUAUGAACGCCAUAAAACUCUAUAUAAAGAAGGUGAUGAAUUUUACAAUAGGAAAGGAACGCGUGAAAAUCGAAAGAAAAAAACGCUAUCGAAUCUUUGCAGCCGAGUCGGAAAGAUAUUUCCGGUUGAUAAUUCCAUAUCAUUUCCUAUGUUAUCUGGUGCACCGCUAAUUUUACAAGUAUAUCGCUCGCGAGUUAUAGCAGAUUGUGUAACUUUUUAAUAUCAGGAAAAAGAGAGAAAAUAGAUGUUUUAUAUCUUUCUAUCUUACUUAACGAACACUCCAUUAAAUCGAUUCGAAAUAGAACUAGCUAGUCACAGAUCGAGUAUACGAAAUGAGAAAUAAAGAUCGUAAUUCGUAUUUUAAUAUUUACGAAAGUUUCUUAAGAAUUGUUAUGACGACUAUACAUAUCCAUAUUCUUAUGAGCAACCUAAGCAGAAAUUUAUUUCACCUAUUAAACGUUAUAACGAGUAUUACACUUUAAGUAUUUUAUAUACGUUUGCAUAUUAUAUGCAUUUUGCAAAUUUCGCAAACAGUCCAAUGAUAACUUAUGUAAAAGGUAAUUGUAACUCGACUAUACAUUCGAAAGAUACUUGGCAAGAGUCGUGUAACGUUUCAGUGACUCUUUCCCAUUCUUUUCAGGUGGUUGGUGAUCAAGCUCGGCUCUGUAUCGCGGACGAAUUGCCACGCUCGAGUAGAUUUAACACCGGCUGCGCAAGUACCGGUAGCUGUUCGAAACGGGAGCGUUAAUUGUAAACGCGGCUAAAGGGGACGCGGGACAAAGAACGAACAACGUGACGGAAAAGGGAAAAAAAGGAAAAAAGAGAAGGCGGAGAAGUAAAAGAAACGAAAGACGGGAAAAACAAACGAAAUAGAACGGACGAUCGUAAGCCCAGAAAAUAGAGUGCAAACUGCCCUUGACGCGAACGAGAAGCAGAGCUUGUAUCUUUGUAACGAGCCCGCGUAAUCGCGCAAUGCCGCCAAUGCCACAAUGCAGCUAAUUAUCAGCAUUAAUGCUGGCGAGAGUCAUGAAUAUUCAUACUUGACAUCUUUAUCGAGCAGCGGGAAAUUGGAGUCGUUAUACGCGGGCCUCCUUUUUGACCCACCUAUCCACGCGAAUCGAUAUGUGACCCGUGCCACGGUUAAGGAAAUUAAAACUUCUCCCCUUCUAUGUAUAUAUACCUAUGUAUAUCUACAAUUUUCUUCAAUCUCGUGUAAAAUAUAGCGUGAACCAGAAUAGUUGUAGAGAUUAGAAGAAAGAAUGAAUGUAUAAAAAAGAGUGGAGGAGUGGACUUGUGCGAAUGACAAAGAGGGAGUGUGCAAUUAAAUUAUAAGAUUAAAUUUAAGUAAUUAAAUAUAGAGUAAAUAGAGUACAGUUAAGUGUAAGUUUAAGUAUAUAUAUAUAUUAUAUAUUUAUUUACAUUAUAUAUUUUAUAUUACAUACUACAUUAUAUAUAUACAUAAUGAUCUAAUGUAUAUAGAAACUGCGUAACAGUAUGAAUGAGACAUCUAUGUAAAUCAAUCUCUGUUUUUAACCGGCAAAAAUUAAUAAUAUAUAUGUAUAUAAAUUACGUGAACAUAAAUUCGUGGUAUGAGUGAAAAAUAAGGCAAAAAUGAAGGGUAACAAAAUU